GACGAACGCUGGCGGCGUGCUUAACACAUGCAAGUCGAACUAAGUGGCGAACGGGUGAGUAACGCGUAAUCAACCUGCCCUUCAGCGGGGGACAACAGUUGGAAACGACUGCUAAUACCGCAUACUGAAGGAGGGGAUUGCGUCUGAUUAGCUAGUUGGAGGGGUAACGGCCCACCAGGGCGAUGAUAAGUCGCCGGUCUGAGAGGAGGAACGGCCAAAUUGGGACUGGGACACGGCCCAGACUCCUACGGGAGGAAGCAGUGGGGAAGCUUCCGCAAUGGACGAAGGUCUGACGGAGCAACGCCGCGUGAGUGAUGACGGCCUUCGGGUUGUAAAGCUCUGUUAAUCGGGACGCGGUACCGGAAUAGAAAGCCACGGCUAACUACGUGCCAGCAGCCGCGGUAAUAC
rnacentral:rRNA from 1 species